UACGAAGGGGGCUAGCGUUGUUCGGAAUCACUGGGCGUAAAGCGCACGUAGGUGGACUUUCAAGUCAGGGGUGAAAUCCCGGGGCUCAACCUCGGAACUGCCUUUGAUACUGUUGGUCUUGAGUCCGGAAGAGGUGAGUGGAAUUCCUAGUGUAGAGGUGAAAUUCGUAGAUAUUAGGAAGAACACCGGUGGCGAAGGCGGCUCACUGGUCCGGUACUGACACUGAGGUGCGAAAGCGUGGGGAGCAAACGGG
rnacentral:rRNA from 1 species